rnacentral:tRNA from 1 species
GGCCCCAUCGUCUAGCGGUCUAGGACGGCAGCCUCUCACGUUGCAGACAGGGGUUCGAUUCCCCUUGGGGUCA